AGGAAGUUAGUUAAAUAAUAACAUUAAUAUGUCAUAUUAAAAUUAUUAAUAAAUUAAUACAUCCUA
rnacentral:tRNA from 1 species